ensembl:lncRNA
UUCAAAUUUUACAAUUUUAUUCAACAUUUGGUCUGAAAAACCGAUGUAAUGCAGGUGCACACACACACUCGCAAUUUUUUUUACCCAAAUGCAUGUACACGCAGGUACACACACGCAGGUACGCACACACGCAGACGCAGGCACGCAGACGCACACAAAAAAAACCGCAGGUACACACACGCAGCUACGCACACGCAGGUACGCACACGCACAAAAAAAAACGCAGGUACACACACGCAGGUACACACGCGCAGGUACGCACACGCAGGCACGCACGCAGACGCAGGCACGCAUACGCAGGCACGCAGACGCACACACACAAAAAAAACCGCAGGUACGCACACGCAGGUACGCACACGCACGCAGGCACAGGCACGCAGACGCACAAACAAAAAAAACGCAGGUACACACACGCAGGCGCAGGCACGCAGACGCACACACAAAAAAAAACGCAGGUACACACACACGCAGGUACGCACACGCAGGCACGCACGCAGACGCAGGCACGCAUACGCAGGCAUGCAGACGCACACACAAAAAAAAACGGCAGGUACACACACGCAGGCACGCACGCACACACACACACCAUCAAAAAAAGAUUCUCUGCUCAACAAACAUGCAAGACCCUCUGAACUAGUUUUAAACUUAUAAAAAUAAAAAAAAAUC